UCCUGGGUGAAUGGUGUCCUGAGCGGAUAGCACCGUAGCAUGCCCAGCAGGGAGUCAGUGUGUCCCAGAGUUGCAUAAGUGGAGGUAUGCUGCUCUUUACUCCGAGGAUUUUUUCGCUAUUUACCGUGUUUUGUUCUUGUUUUCUUACAUCAAGUAACUCUAAAUACAAUUUAUAUACGUUUGUGUGUAUACUAGAGUGAAAGUGAGACAAUAUGUCGAAACGGAAUCGUGCAACUAUGGCCCGUUUAGCAAAUUUUGCUAAAAAGAGACAUAGGGUGGAAGGUGGACUGUUUUUUUUGUUGAUGUGGCAGCGUCGCAUUGCCACCACCAUUGUUGGCUGAUGUACCCAGAGCUGUCCACCAUCAUCACCACCACCAGCACCACCAACAACAACAACACAAGGCUCUUUUUUGGCUUCUGAGAGCCCCGCCCUCACUGCCUCUACGUCGUCUGGUGCGCAAUCAUCUGAGGUUUUUUCACCUUCACAGUUAUGCUCGCAGUUAAUGAAAGUAAUAAAGGAUGAUGAAACGGGAGUAUAUGAUGACAAAUUCUUACUUGCUUGGUUUCAAACCAAGCAACAAAGAGUCAGGUGGUACUUGAUGAUAGCCUCGCCUCGAGCAAAUAAUACCCCUUUUUAGGGGGGGACUUGGUGCCGGAAACCAAGCAAAAAAAACACUAAGAACUAUUAGAAUGAAGGAAAGGCAUUCUGAACUAAGCGCUAGUGAGUAUUUAACAUUUGUUUGUAUCAUGGUUUUGCUCAUAGAUCAGUUUUUAUCCACGAGUGCCAAAAAAAAAACACUUCUUGACCUUUACGGCCGUUUUUCUCAGUUUUCACUUUUUUGCACUUCAAACGCUAACUAUUUUUUUAUUUGUAGGCCAAUUUUAAAGUUAAAUAUACCAUUGGAAAGAGGAAAGAAAGGCAAAUAUUUUGUUGGGGCUAGAUUUUUUCUUAGGUUGACGAGGAACUCGUGAUAACCAAAUCAACAAAAUUUUGGGGGGAAAAUUCCCCCUCGCCCCCAUCCAAAAAAAGCAAAAAAUGGAAAAACUGUUCCCAACAUUUUUUUUCUACUAUGAUAUACUUUCUGUGUAUAUAGCCGCAUUGCAAUAGCUCUAAAAAUGGAGGAAGAGUUACAUAAUUAAUUUUUUUUAUUUUUUCUUAUUUUUUCAAUAAAAACCAAAACAAUCAUUCAAUCACUCUGAAAUGUUAUAAAAUUGUUUUGUCCUUUUGCUCUUUCAUACCUUGCUCUGAACUGUUUGUCUGGUGAUCUUUUAAUACUUUGUUUACUUACCUGAUGGAGGGACAGUCGGAGCAAUGUACCAAGGAGUAAUCUACUGAAGUUUAAGUUGAAUAAAGCUUGGGUAGCUUUGUCGUGAAAAAAUAAGUGCACUAUUUCUGCAUGACUGAAUUCUGCCUUGGCCCCUACGUAAAAAACGCCAUAUACUCCGAUUGGCUGCAGGAACGUGAUAGUUCUUGAUCAAAAUGCAUUAUCCUCAUAGGAUUUAUUGAUUCGUAGUUUUUGGGAACAGUAGAAUGAUUACGUGUUUAUUAGUUUGUUUAUAUUUUUACUUAUCAAAAGGAAGUAAGUUCUUGUAAUAAAAUUCAAUGAUAUGGAAAAUGACUAGCUCGCACGCCUCAUAGCGUCCUUCAUUUGAGAGAACCUGGGUGAGGCAGGCAUUCAAUGGUGAGCUCCAGCUAAGGCGUGAUAUGUUUAUUUUCCACAAGGCAAAUGUGAGUGAUAUGUGUCCCAGUAAUUUACCAGUGCAUAUCCUAGCCAUAGUUGGCGUAAUGUUUAAGCUAUUGAUUUCUGUGUUAGUAAUGCCAUUUAAUAUCAUGAUUAAAGUCAUUUUUCUGUGAUUUAGUGCUUUUCUUAAUUGUUCUAGAAGUUUCUCAUGGCUGCAUGACCACAUAUUUUGUGCUAUCGUAAGGGUGAAAAGGUCCCUUCUUUCCAUUUGUAUAUGACUUUAUAAUCGUAGACAUGAGAGUAGGAACUAUAUUUUUUAAAUAAAAUUGUAAAAUCA